CUCUUAGCCCAUCUAGCCAAGCAACCAGGACGCAGGUGACAUGGCCAGAGAAAGGACAUCUCUCAACAAAGUCCCAGAAUGAAGGUACCUACAGGGUCCCGUUUGACUGAUUCUCAUGGGACUUCUAAAAAGAAAGCAUCAAGCUUGAAUGGGUCCCGGAUGGAAAGUGGGCCAAAUGGUAACAAGCCCCACCCCAUGGGUGUAUCACGGGGGAUACACGUGAUUGAGCCCCCAGAAGACCCUCAGUAAAGGGUGGUCAUCCCUGCUACCACUGCAGCAUAUGGAUGGACUAAGACAGAUGCCAAGGCCUUGACUGAUGUCAGCUGACCCAGUUACAACGCGUCAGAGGUCAGCUCUGUGAAACAGAUCAUGCAGUGAUCACUGCGGCCCAGGGGCAGCCAGACAGCCCAAGAGAGAUGGGAGACGAGGCUCCACCCACCCGGACCUGCUGGGAUUCAGCACUCCCAUCUUUCACUGCUG